rnacentral:rRNA from 1 species
UUAAUUCCAGUUGAUCCUGCUGGAGGCCACUGCUAUUGGGGUUCGAUUAAGCCAUGCACGUCAGGGAACAAGGCAUUUGUUCCCGGCAGACAGCUCAGUAACACGUGGACAAUCUGCCCUCCGGAGGAGGAUAAUCUCGGGAAACUGAGGCUAAUACUCCAUAGAUAACGAGUCCUGGAAUGGCCGUUAUCGAAAGUGCAAGCGUGUUGCUCGCUUGUUACACCAGAGGAUGAGUCUGCGGUGGAUUAGGUAGACGUUGGGGUAAUGGCCCAACGUGCCUUCGAUCCGUACCGGCUAUGUAAGUAGGAGCCGGGAGAUGGAUACUGAGACAAAGAUCCAGGCUCUACGGAGCGCAGCAGGCGCGAAACCUUCGCAAUGCGCGAAAGCGUGACGAGGGGACCCCGAGUUCCCCAGUACAACUGGGGAUUUUGUAGAGCGUAAAAAGCUUUAAGAAUAAGUGCUGGGUAAGACCGGUGCCAGCCUCCGCGGUAACACCGGCAGCGCAAGUGGUGGUCACGUUUAUUGGGCUUAAAGCGUCCGUAGUCGGUUCAGCAAGUUCCCUGUGAAAUCCUGCCGCUUAACGGUAGGGCUUGCAGGGAAUACUGCCGAGCUAGGGACCGGAAGAGGUCAGGGGUAUUCCCGGGGUAGCGGUGAAAUGUUAUAAUCCCGGGAGGACGACCCGCGGCGAAGGCGCCUGACUAGUACGGGUCCGACGAUGAGGGACGAGAGCUGGGGGAGCAAAACGGAUUAGAUACCCGUGUAGUCCCAGCCGUAAACGAUGCGGACUGAGUAUUGCACAAAUCUCGUAUUUGUGCAGUGCUGAAGGGAAACCGUUAAGUCCGCCGUCUGGGGAGUACGGUCGCAAGGCUGAAACUUAAAGGAAUUGGCGGGGGAACACCACAAGGGGUGGAGUCUGCGGUUCAAUUGGAUACAACGCCGGGAAACUCACCAGGGGCGACGGCAGUAUGAAAGCCAAGCUGAAGGUUUUGCUUGACGAGCCGAGAGGUAGUGCAUGGCCGUCGUCAGCUCGUACCGUGAGGCGUGCGGUUAAGUCCGUUAACGAGCAAGACCCGUGCCCUUAUUUGCGACCCUUUCCGAUGGGGAGGGGGCACUAUAAGGGGACCGGUGGCGAUGAGUCACAGGAAGGCGCGGGCGACGGUAGGUCUGUAUGCUCCGAAUCUCCUGGGCCACACGUGGACUACAAUGGCAUGAACAAUGAGUUGCAACGCCGAAAGGCGAAGCUAAUCCCCAAAUCAUGUCUUAGUUCGGAUCGAGGGCUGUAACUCGCCCUCGUGAAGAUGAAAUCCCUAGUAAUCGCUGGUCACUAUCCAGCGGUGAAUAUGUCCCUGUUCCUUGCACACACCGCCCGUCAAACCAAUCGAGUGGAUUCGAAAUGAGGCUUUUUCAUUAGGAAGGGUCGAAUUUCAGGUUCGCAAGAGGGGUUAAGUCGUAACAAGGUAGCCGUAGGGGAAUCUGCGGCUGGAUCACCUCCA